AGUGAACGCUGGCGGUAGGCCUAACACAUGCAAGUCGAGCGGCAGCACAGUAAGAGCUUGCUCUUACGGGUGGCGAGUGGCGGACGGGUGAGGAAUACAUCGGAAUCUACUUUUUCGUGGGGGAUAACGUAGGGAAACUUACGCUAAUACCGCAUACGACCUACGGGUGAAAGCAGGGGAUCUUCGGACCUUGCGCGAUUGAAUGAGCCGAUGUCGGAUUAGCUAGUUGGCGGGGUAAAGGCCCACCAAGGCGACGAUCCGUAGCUGGUCUGAGAGGAUGAUCAGCCACACUGGAACUGAGACACGGUCCAGACGCCUACGGGAGGCAGCAGUGGGGAAUAUUGGACAAUGGGCGCAAGCCUGAUCCAGACAUACCGCGUGGGUGAAGAAGGCCUUCGGGUUGUAAAGCCCUUUUGUUGGGAAAGAAAAGCAGCAGGUUAAUACCCCGCUGUUCUGACGGUACCCAAAGAAUAAGCACCGGCUAACUUCGUG
rnacentral:rRNA from 1 species